GAAUUCAGUAGUGAUUCAGGCCUAACACAUGCAAGUCGAACGGCAGCACGGACUUCGGUCUGGUGGCGAGUGGCGAACGGGUGAGUAAUAUAUCGGAACGUGCCCAGUCGUGGGGGAUAACGUAGUGAAAAUUACGCUAAUACCGCAUACGAUCUAUGGAUGAAAGCGGGGGAUCGCAAGACCUCGCGCGAUUGGAGCGGCCAAUAUCAGAUUAGGUAGUUGGUGGGGUAAAGGCUCACCAAGCCGACGAUCUGUAGCUGGUCUGAGAGGACGACCAGCCACACUGGAACUG
rnacentral:rRNA from 1 species